GCAACGGCGGCUUUUCAGGCCGCAGGUCUUGGAGAAAAGCCAAGCAGGAACU
rnacentral:tRNA from 2 species